AUAUAAGAUUUAAGUUAUUUACCUUAUAGUGUUCGUCAAUGUAGCUGUGACAGGAGAAUAGCCAAAUCAACGGCAAACCCCGAUAUAUAAGGCUAACCUACGUACGUAACAUACAUGCACUGCGCUAACUCCACGCAAAUAGGGUUAAUAAAUAUGAAUGGCUCCCAUUUGAACUUCACUUUUACACUUAUUUAAGCACAGAGGUGGCAGUGUCUACAUUUAUUCAUGGGGAAGGAGAAUCGUAGUUUAUUGGUGUGAAAGUAAGUUGGCAGACCUGGGGAAGAUCUAAGAAGCUGGAUAUUAAAUUGAGAUUAUAGUUCCCUCUGAUCUGCCAGUGUAUUGAAGUUUCUCUUUUCAUGCACCUAUAGGGCCGAGUUGGUCAGACUUUGCUCCUUCUACAUUUCAAGACUCCCCCCUCCCCCAACCCCGACGUUGUUUUGCACCAUUUUUUCAGAACCGAUAGUCUGCAGUACAGACAGACACGAGAGGUACGCAUUGAUGUAAUAGACUGCGGCAGACCACUGGUCACCGGCCAGCCUAAUGAACAGAGAUAGGAAAAUUAUUUGCAAUAAAAGCACAAGGCCGCGAACGUGGUGGCAGGGAGCGCUGACGCGUGCGCAGUGACGCCUGUGCAGUGGCGCCUGCGUGGGCUGCGGCCCGGGAGGAGACCUGCUGAGUGGCCAGAGAUGUGGAGGAAAUGAGGCAUUGAGGGCAGAGGAUCAGAACCAUUGCAGAGGACUCCUUCACACAUCGGGAAAUGACCGGAAAGCACUCCAAUCCCCACAGAGGUCCACGCACAGCAAGAUUCCUUGAAGCAGGAAGAGAGGACGAUGAUGAAAACAGGGAACAGUACGUAGAAAUGUACAGCGUUCAUCAUGGGAGAUGAGAGCAUGUAGGAAUCUGAAACGCCACAGCAUGAAAUGAGAGCAUGGCAUCAGUAACGCUGAAGGUGUCAUGAUCAACACUUAAGUGAUCGGAAGCCAGGGCGAGACUGGUGUUCGAAUGAGAUGAAUAUCAGCAAACAUCCUUCCCUGCUGCCACUUAUGAAUCACUUCCAUCGAGGAUGAAAGGCCACAGACUGAAAUUCUCCCGGCUACCUGAAGCGCUUCAUGUUGAUCUCUGGCAAGCCGCCAGGGCUGUCAACCGCGGGAGCGCGGCGGAGGACGAGGGAAACGCCGGGGAUUUAUCGCGGAGCACUGACACUCUGAAUCUCAUACGACUGUCCCACUAAUUAAGACCCAAACUUCUUUUAUGUGAUCUUUGGUAGUACAUCAAAAUAAUAUCAAUUUGAGUCAAUUAGGCACA